AGUCAUAUGCUUGUCUCAAAGAUUAAGCCAUGCAUGUGUCAGUACAGGCCGCUCUAAGGCGAAACCGCGAAUGGCUCAUUAAAUCAGUUAUCAUUCAUUUGAUCCAAACCUAUUACUCGGAUAACCCUGGUAAUUCUAGAGCUAAUACGUGACGAUUACAACUCCGACUGGAAGGGAGGAGUGCUUUUAUUAGUUGAAAACCAAUCGGGCCUCGGUCCGUCCACUUUACUGUGACGACUCUGAAUAACUUUGUGCCGAGAGCACGGUCUCCGCACCGGCUCCGUAUCUUUCGAGUUUCUGCCUUAUCAUGCUGUGGAUUGUAGGCCAUGCGCCUACAGUGGCUGUUACGGGUGACGGAGAAUCAGGGUUCGAUUCCGGAGAGGGAGCCUGAGAAACGGCUACCACAUCCAAGGAAGGCAGCAGGCACGCAAAUUACCCAAUCCCAGCUCUGGGAGGUAGUGACGAAAAAUAACAAUGCGGGACUCUUCCGAGUCUGCGUAAUUGGAAUGAGCACACUUUAAAUCCUUUAGCAACAACCAAUUGGAGGGCAAGUCUGGUGCCAGCAGCCGCGGUAAUUCCAGCUCCAAUAGCGUAUAUUAAAGUUGUUGCAGUUAAARGCUCGUAGUUCGAGCUCAGUUCCGGACUGGCCGGGGAGGUCACCGCCCGGUGCUUCCCCGUCAGGCUCCGAACAGCUUCCCUGAGUGGAAGCCAAGCCGGUUCUGCCGGGGUGCUCUUUACCGAGUGUCCCGCGCGGCCGGCCAGUUCACCUUGAAUAAAUGAGAGUGCUCAAAGCAGGCUACUCUCGAAUACAAUGCCCGAAUGUUACCUGCAUGGAAUGAUGGAAGAUGAUCUCGGUUCCAUUUUAUUGGUGGUGGGAGCCCGAGGUAAUGAUAAACAGGGACUGUCGGGGGCAUCCGUACUACGACGCGAGAGGUGAAAUUCAGUGACCGUCGUAGGACGAACAACAGMGAAAGCAUUUGCCAAGAAUGUCUUCGUUGAUCAAGAACGAAAGUUAGAGGAUCGAAGGYGAUCAGAUACCGCCCUAGUUCUAACCCUAAAYGAUGCUGACUAGCAAUUCGCCGUCGUUAUUCCCAUGAYGUGGCGAGACGCCCCCGGGAAACCUCAAGUCUUUGAGUUCCGGGGGUAGUAUGGUUGCAAAACUGAAACUUAAAGGAAUUGACGGAAGGGCACCACCAGGAGUGGAGCCUGCGGCUUAAUUUGACUCAACACGGGAAACCUCACCAGGCCCGGACACCAGAAGGAUUGACAGAUUAAGAGCUCUUUCUCGAUUUGGUGGGUGG
rnacentral:rRNA from 1 species